CAGUCGCCGCGGUAAUACGAAGGGGGCUAGCGUUGUUCGGAUUUACUGGGCGUAAAGGGUGCGUAGGCGGACUGAUAAGUCAGGGGUGAAAUCCCAAGGCUCAACCUUGGAACUGCCUUUGAUACUGUUAGUCUUGAGUUCGAGAGAGGUGAGUGGAACUGCGAGUGUAGAGGUGAAAUUCGUAGAUAUUCGCAAGAACACCAGUGGCGAAGGCGGCUCACUGGCACGAAACUGACGCUGAGGCACGAAAGCGUGGGGAGCAAACAGGAUUAGAUACCCCCGUAGUCCCUGUCUCUUAUAC
rnacentral:rRNA from 1 species